UGCGCAGCGUUUUGUUCGAAGCGCAGGCAAAAUAAAAUUUGAAAAUCUUUCUAUUCUCAACCGCGCUCACCAGAACAAAAAAUUUUUAUUUAACGAUUUUUUCGAACUUUACUUCACUAUCCACUUUCAAAAAUUUGAAACUCUCUCAACUCUCAACCGCACUCACCUUCAACAAUUAUUGCGAUGGAUCUAAGCAUCAAUUGCCUCACAUUCUUCCUACACGAUCUCGGGGCCAAUUGGGCACCAAUGGCGACGUGAAUUUGCAAAUUUUAUGACUGUUUUUGGUUCAUUCUUUUUGCCAUGACUGUAAAUGGAGUUCACUGAAGCUUAUAAACAGACCGGGCCGUGUUGUUUUUCACCUAACUCACGUUACAUAGCUGUUUCCGUCGAUUAUCGUCUUGUUAUCCGGGGCACUCACUCUUUUAAGGUUGUGCAGUUGUUUUCAUGCUUGGGUAAGAUAAGCUAUAUCGAAUGGGCACUUGAUUCUGAGUACAGUCUUUGUGGUCUUUUUAAAAGACCAAUGAUACAGUUAUGGUCACUGACCCAACCUGAGUGGACAUGCAAAAUAAAUGAAGGGUCUACUGGCAUUGAUUACGGUUGAUGGAGUCCAGAUAGCUGUCACAUUCUUACUACAUCUGAUUUUCAGCUGCAAUUAACAGUUUGGUCACUACUGAACACAGCAUGCGUUCAUGUGCAAUGGCCUAAGCAUGCUUUGGAGGGGGUCUCUUUCACUGAAGAUGGGAAAUUUGCUGCCAUUUGUACCAGACGUGAUUGCAAGGACUACAUAAAUCUGCCUUCAUGCAGUUCUUGGGAGAUAAUGGGUGUUUUUGCUGUUGAUACAUUGGAUUUGGCUGAUAUUAAAUGGGCACCAGAUGAUAGCUCCAUAGUGAUUUGGGAUUCACAUUUGGAAUAUAAGGUUCCAUCCUAUGCACCUUUGAUUUCCUAGCAAAUGAAACCUGCUCUGCAUGUACCUAGAGAGCAUUGUCCGUGCUCCUUGUUUUGCUGCUGUUUUCAAGGUAAUUGGAUUUUGUUAGGGCUCAAGUAUACGUGAAGAAGAAAAGAAGAGGCAUGAAGGCAAAGCUGAAGAUACAAUCUUAGGAACUAACAGACAGUAACAUUAUUAACGGCAUUGGAGAGCUCACUGUGGGAGCUAAAGGCUGUAAUUCUAAAUUUGAUGCUAGCAGUGCCGAUGAUAACUCUGGUGGGCAGUCCACAGGACCUCCAGAUGGCAGCAUCCCAGUAGCAGUUAAAGCAGCAGACAUGCAGCAAAAGUAUGGGGAUGUGCUGGGAAAAGAAGGCACUCUGGAGAUGUUAGAAGCUGAGCUGGCACGCGAGGAUUGGUGGAGCUACAGCAAGGAGUCAAAUAUUAAGAGCCUGGUGAGAGAGGAAUAGAGGGGAGAAAAAAGAAAGGAAAGAAUAGGGGGAGAGAACCAGCCUCUCGAAUGCUGGAGUGAAUUUGGUCUGUGGCCUGAUUACUUGCUUUUAUUAAAUCUUUUGUGUUGUUUGCUUUGUUUUGUUUACCAUUGAGAUACAUUAUUGUAAGAGUGUUAACUGAAAUCUGAACCUCACAGUUGGCAUUGAUUUGUAAUGUGAUACAAUGGGAAUGCAGUACUUGUUUG